AGCAGAUGGACGAUCUCAUCCUCAGAAGCUAAAGACAAUAAUAAAGUUUGUUAGGUUUUUUUCUUUUAAUAAUCUCUUGAAAGGUCAUAAGAUGUAAGGAGUAUCUGUUCCUUGGCAAGUUGGCCAGAAUCACAAUUAACAUUCUCAGGGGACAUGCUGUGCAGGGCUCAGUGGCUUCCCCACCAUCACUCGUGUUUGUGGGUGGUCAAGUAGGAACUGGGAUUCCAGAAGUGCUGACUCACUGACUGUCUGACCAGCACUGUGUAAGUGAGUCUGAACUGUUGAUGCGACUAGGAACAGCAGCAACUUCUCUGAGAAGUUGGCCUUUGCACCCUAGACGUAUGUUUUUGAAACAUCUGCGUGUGUCUGGGUUCCGGAUGUGAAAAAGUUCUCCCGUCCGAUGGUUUUCAGUAUAUGCCUGCUAACACUAUGCUAUACUACACUGAAAGGGAGCGUAUUUUGAUCAGUUCUGUCACCCACCUGCUAUGCCCGUGCCUGGAGCUGCCACAGGCCGCAGGGGAUCAUCAGAUUUGAGGAGCAGGAUCGCGACGACUCCGCUGUCUGGUCAUCUCAGAGCGCUGGGCCUCGUUCUUCUCUGAAAAGUGGGAGAAGGACACAGUCCAACUCAUAACAGAGACCACUAUCUGAGACAGAAGAAUGAGUCCUUCACAGGUUGGGAGAAACACAGCCUGCUUCCGCCGGAGCAGAGGGGUCCUGGAAGUGCCCUGUGCUGCCUGAAAACUUCUGAGCUGCAAUGCUAUGCUUCCACGCUAUUUCUACUGCUCAAGAUUGAGUUUCAACAAUAUAUUGCUAGAAUAAAAAACGUACAAGUCUAUAC
rnacentral:lncRNA from 1 species